GCGAAACCCGGUCCAGAGGCGUGGGUAAUGCUGAGGGGGCAAGCGUUAAUCGGAAUGACUGGGCGUAAAGCGUGCGCAGGCGGCUUAUUAAGUCAGAUGUGAAAUCCCUAGGCUCAACCUAGGAACUGCAUGUGAAACUAAUAAACUAGAGUAUCGUAGAGGGAGGUAGAAGUCCAGGUGUAGCGGUGAAAGGCGUAGAUAUCUGGAGGAAUACCAGUGGCGAAGGCGACCUCCUGGACGAAAACUGACGCUCAAGCACGAAAGCAUGGGGAGCAAACAGGAUUAGAUACCCGUGUAGUC
rnacentral:rRNA from 1 species